AUUGAUCUUCUGUUGUGGGAGCAGCUGCAGGCUCCCCACCCUGUGAGAGCUUUCGUGUGCCAAGUCAUUGGCUACAGGUGGCAAAGUUGUGGCUCCAGUUCAAGUCUCUCCCCUGGAGCUGGAUGUUCCAGAAAGGACACUCAGUUCUUCAGGGCUGUCUCUGUGAUCCAGGCUUUGAUCUGGGAAAGGUUGCGCCUCAUUGCAGAGUUGAAGCUAUCUGCCUGCUUUGUUUACACGAACGCCCUUCCAGGACUCUGUCUGCUUUUGGGGUGGAAGUGCCCUGCCAAAAACUCCAGCUCUCCAUGCUGGCUGUGUGGCCAGCAUACCUCCUGCCUUUUCAACGAUUCCUCUGCCCUGGAUAGAGAGCGGUGUCUCAUAACAGUUUGGAAACUACAAAAGUUUCCCUGGCAGGAUGAAUGAUUGACUCGGCAACAUGUUCUUGCCUUUUGGAGUUGCCCUCCAAUUUUUCCAGGCUUGAUUCUGUAAAUCAUUUCAUCUUGUAAAAAUACUGGGCUGUGAGCACGGAUGAUCUCAAAGAUGAGGAAACAGAAGCUGGGAUAUGUGAGUAAACAUUUCCAAGGUCCUGCAGCUAAUCAAUGGUUGACAACUUCUUUCCUCUGCCUAUGUUGCCAUCCAUGUCAUGGUUUGUGUCAAGACUCUAGGAGAAGUCUACCAUCAGCACCACAGCUACUGUGCACAAAUCCAGAAUGCCAGACUGAAGUCAGAAGGAAAGAGAUGAUGCAGCUCAUUGCUGAUGCUGAGAUCCAACGUCCAGUGCCUGAGUACCCCUGGAUUCUGAGCACUAGGGGCUGGACUGUGGAGACCAUCAGUUCAUAACAUCCUGUCCCUGCUCCCUGCUGUAGAUGACUGAGACCAGGGUUCUUAAACAAGGGAGAAGCACUCUCAUACCCCUAGAACAAGAUGAACAAAAGAAGGAGGAAAAAUCUUGACCUCCGUAAGAUCCAGGAUGGCACGUGCAAGGCACUGACACAGCAUCUGCCGGCAUCACUGACUCUCCUGGACCCCAGAAGCCCAGUUCCCCAGGCUCUGAAACCCUGCAGCAAUGAAAAGGAAGCACAGGCAAACCAUAAGGAAGAUAAUUUUUCUACUAAAAAAUAAAUAGAAAUGCAUCCUUAGAGGCAGGUUUCAUGAGGACACAGAGAAUCCGGUUUUGUGUGUGCCUGAUUUCGUUUUUCUGUCAAAGAGAUACAAAACAAUCAACUGAGUUAUCUUGAACUUACAAAGAUUAAAAAUAAUCAAUUCCUGUUACUAUUUUCAAUUUUUCCCCCAUUUUACUUCUUUAGGUAUGAAGAAAUGUAGCCUAUUAAAACCUGGAUUAAUAAAAACCUUUCAUUAACUUUUAGAA
rnacentral:lncRNA from 1 species